rnacentral:rRNA from 1 species
CCUGAACGCUGGCGGCGUGGCUAAGACAUGCAAGUCGCACGGACCCGCAAGGGUUAGUGGCGAACGGGUGAGUAAUGAAUCGCUAAUGUACCCCGGACUCUGGGAUAGCCGGCCGAAAGGUCGGGUAAUACCAGAUGAUAUAACUUUAUCGCAUGAUAGAGUUCUCAAAGGUCCGCCGGUCUGGGAGCAGGCGAUUUCGU